rnacentral:rRNA from 1 species
ACGGAGGGUGCAAGCGUUGUUCGGAAUCACUGGGCGUAAAGCGCGUGUAGGCGGCUUGACAAGUCGAAUGUGAAAGCCCGGGGCUCAACCUCGGAAGUGCAUUCGAAACUGUCAGGCUUGAGUACGGGAGAGGGAAGUGGAAUUCCUGGUGUAGGGGUGAAAUGCGUAGAAAUGAGGAGGAACAGCGAAAGCGAAGGCAGCAAACUGGACUAAUACCGACGCUGAGACGCGAAAGCGCGGGGAGCACAAAG